UAAAGGCAUGCGCCGCCGCCACCACCACCGCCGCCGCCACCACCGCCACCAUCAGCAGCAGCAGCAGCAGGCAGGACAUGGGGUUUGUAUGCCACAGAUGUCCAUUUGUUUUGGCAGUCCAUCACUCCAAGGGUCGUCUUCCCGGCUUGCUGUUUCCUGGAAGGUGAUGUUAAUGACGGUACACUGGUAAAGUUGUGUCAGAAUGGUCCUCACUCCAGCUGGUCCUUGUCCAAUCCUUGGAGAGCAGUGAGGAUAUUAUUGAUGUCAUCUCCAGUUUCCACUGGAGGAAACUCAAAGAGUCAAGGGCCCUGCUGGCGAGUGACACAAAAGAGGACUCCGGAUUCUAAACUUCAUGUGUCCUACCAUUGGUGUGACGUUCUGGUUUACAGCCAGCCCUCCAGCUGACUCUCGGUCUUGCUCCUGUCUCGCUUGUUACUCUGAAGACUUGUCUUUUAACUGAUACCAGCCUGAGACUCCAGAGUUUUAUUUUCAAAGAGGCAGUUGUUUGAGUUUUACCCAUCAUUCUACCUAAGGUAUUUGAGGGUCAAGUCUAGCAGCAGGCUUUGAGCAGUCUGGUUGCACCUUCUUCUUCUUCUGGGGAUUCUUGGUGUAGCCACGAGUGUCUGUCUACUCUAUAAGCUUUUUACUAGAAACUGUAGUUGUGUUGGAAAUAUCUCCUUUGUAUACAUACUUAGAGCAUUAUGUGGCUUUUUUAAAAAAUUAAGUUUAUUUAGAGUGAGACAUUUACAGAGCAAAUGAUUCUUAAAUUGUGGUUCAGGUUGAACUGAGUUUAUAGAAACACACUGAGACCAGGCACAUCCAUAGACCUCAACCCAUUCUCUCUCCUUUCUUUACCAAAUAACCUCUUUCAGAUGUGGCUCAAGGUAGAAUUUGUCCUCCCCACAUUUCGUCCAGUGUUUCUGAGGUAAGAGCUGAUGCCUCCUGAUCAGGCCAGGCCUGUGUUAAUGUGAACCAUUUCUGUCAUUACAGAUGUUCUCAGGAAGCAGCCUGAUCGCUUCUUUCAUACCUCCGUCUUGUCUGUCACAUGACCGUGAAUUGACCUGUUUUGUGUGUGGUUCUUUCGCUCGGCUCUGGCUUCACUUCUAACACCCAGCUCUCCAUCUGUGGCCAGUCAGUGUGGAAACACAGCCAGUUGGCCGUUUCUCAGAUCUGUUGUCAAUAAAUGAUGGUCACCAUCCAAGUUUCUUCUGGUUGCCAUAACAGAA